rnacentral:pre_miRNA from 1 species
UCUUAUGGAUGAGCAAAGAAAGUGGUUUCUUGAGAUGGAAUCUACUCCUGGUGACGAUGCCGUGAA